rnacentral:lncRNA from 1 species
GCACUUCCAACAUUUCAUGAAUAGAGAGUAGAUAAGUAAGAGACACUAUCACCAAUAGCACGCUAAGCAAGAUCCUUAAAUUGUGCAUUAAGUUGGAUUUAAUGAGAAUAGCGCACCCAAGAGGGUAGCAAGCUACAUUGUGUAACAGUGCAACUUUAAGUGGUGGUGUGGAUUGUGCACUUAGGGAAGCCACCGAAUUGUGCACUUAAGACACUCUUCUUAAAUUAUGUUAUGUCUG